rnacentral:rRNA from 1 species
CCUACGGGUGGCAGCAGUGGGGGAUAUUGCACAAUGGGGGGAACCCUGAUGCAGCGACGCCGCGUGGGUGCAGAAGCGCCUCGGCGCGUAAAGCCCUGUCAGCAGGGAAGAAAAUGACGGUACCUGAAGAAGAAGCCCCGGCUAACUACGUGCCAGCAGCCGCGGUAAUACGUAGGGGGCAAGCGUUAUCGGGAUUUAUUGGGUUUAAGGGGUGAGAAGGCGGUAUUUUAAGUGAGUGGUAAACCGGCGGGGCGUCACCUUGAUUGGCCAUUAAAACUGGAGUACUAGAGUGCAGACGAGGUAGGCGGAAUAAGUGAAGUAGCGGUGAAAUGCUUAGAUAUAACUUAGAACCCCGAUAGCGAAGGCAGCUUACCAGACUGUUACUGACGCUGAGGCACGAGAGCGUGGGUAGCGAACAGGAUUAGAUACCCUAGUAGUC